GACGAACGCUGGCGGCGUGCCUAACACAUGCAAGUCGAACGGAAAGGCCCUGCGUUUGUGGGGUGCUCGAGUGGCGAACGGGUGAGUAACACGUGUGUAUCCUGUCCUUGACUUUGGGAUAACUUUAGGAAACUGGGGCUAAUACCGGAUAGGAGCUCCUGCUGCAUGGGGGGGGUUGGAAAGUUUCGGCGGUUGGGGCUGGACUGGAGGCUUAUCAGCUUGAUUGUGGGGUAGUUGCUUACCAAGGCUUCGACGGCUAGGCGGCCUGAGAGGGUGACCGGCCACAUUGGGCCUGAGGUACGGCCCAGACUCCUACGGGCGGCAGCAGUGGAGAAUAUUACACAGUGAGCGGAAGCCUGAUGCGGCAGCGCCGCGUGCGGGAUGACGGCCUUCGGGUUGUGAACCGCUUUCGCCUGUGACGAGGCGUGCGUGACGGUAAUGGGUCAAGAAGCACCGGCUAACUACGUG
rnacentral:rRNA from 1 species